UCUCUUAGGUGAUCGACAUGUUGGCCCUCCACUUGCCUCCAGAGAAACUUUUCUCCCAGCUGACGCCUCUGAUGGAGCCAGCACUGAGGAGU